UUUCACCAGUGAGGAAUGGAGGGCAGCGCCGGACGUCUCUCCAACCACAGCUCGCUGGUCUGAAAGACACGUCAAUCUGCUUCCUCUGUUCCAGAUGCAGGCCUGUGGACAGAAAUACGACAAUUAAAAGCAGUCGAUUGAACGAGUUGACUUUAAAACUCAAAGUCAGUCGGCCAUGACGGGCUCGUUUUGAGGGUUUGCACCUGCAGACAGAAAGUAGAAAAUUAACACGAAUGCAUCGAAAUACCCGUUUCAGUCAUUCUCUGGUGGAUUUAUGCCAACGCUGCUUUGGCUCCUUACCUUCGGCCAAACGACGCUGUCGUCCAGACGUUGCUAAAUGUUUGUGCAAAAAUUGUGUUAGUCAUCCUUCCAGACGGUGCGUGCUUCAGUUUUCAAAAUGUACAUGUACUUACCCACCGUUAAAUGCUUCAAUUGUUUGGUUGCACGCCAGAUAAAUGCGUUUUGGUGGU